UCUGCGGUGAAGAGGCUUUAGCAUGUAACACAGACCAUCUUGGAUGAUUUCUUCAACGAGUUAUUCUUGUUACGCCUGGCUUCUGAGGAUA